AUACGGAGGAUCCGAGCGUUAUCCGGAUUUAUUGGGUUUAAAGGGUGCGCAGGCGGCCAUUUAAGUCAGCGGUUAAAUCGUGGGGCUCAACCCCAUUCUGCCGUUGAUACUGGGUGGCUUGAUUGCGGUCGAGGUUGGCGGAAUUCGUUGUGUAGCGGUGAAAUGCAUAGAUAUGACGAAGAACACCGAUUGCGUAGGCAGCUGACCAGACCGCAAAUGACGCUCAUGCACGAAAGUGCGGGGAUCGAACAGGAUUAGAUACCCUGGUAGUCCGCACAGUAAACGAUGAAUACUUGUUUUCGGCGAUAUAAUGUCGGAGGCAAAGCGAAAGCGAUAAGUACUCCACCUGGGGAGUACGCCGGCAACGGUGAAAAUCAAAUGAAUUGACGGG
rnacentral:rRNA from 1 species